AUUAAGUACUUCUCUUUAAGCACGGAUCUAUCCUCUGUGGUGGGGGGACCUAACAGACAAACAGGUUAUAGUACUGUCUCUUUAAGCAUCAGGAUAUCUCUGUGGUGGUGGGACCUAACAGACAAACAGAUUAUAGUACUGUCUCUUAAGCCUCAGGAUAUCCUCUGUGGUGGGGGGACCUAAAGACAAACAGGAUUAUAGUUACUGUCUCUUUAAGCUCCGGAUAUCCUCUGUGGUGGGGGGACCUAACAGACAAACAGGAUUAUAGUACUGUCUCUUUAAGCAUCAGGAUGAGGAUAUCCUCUGUGGUGGGGGGACCUAACAGACAAACAGGAUUAUAGUACUGCUCUCUUUAAGCAUCAGGAUAUCCUCUGUGGUGGGGGGACCUAACGACAAACAGGAUUAUAGUACUGUCUCUUUAAGCAUCAGGAUAUCCUCUGUGGUGGGGGGAACCUAACAGACAAACAGGAUUAUAGUACUGUCUCUUUAAGCAUCAGGAUCAUCCUCUGUGGUGGGGGGACCUA
rnacentral:lncRNA from 1 species